rnacentral:rRNA from 1 species
GGGCUACACACGUGCUACAAUGGACGGUACAAAGAGCUGCAAGACCGCGAGGUGGAGCUAAUCUCAUAGAACCGUUCUCAGUUCGGAUUGUAGGCUGCAACUCGCCUACAUGAAGCUGGUAUCGCUAGUAAUCGCGGAUCAGCAUGCCGCGGUGGAGUACGUUCUCGGGUCUUGCACACGCCGCCCGUC